CAUUUUAGUGACAACAGCAUCAGCAGAACGGAGCCAUAGGUAGUCCCUGAUGCUAUAAAAUGUUGACUUAGACAUACUUAUGUGAUACUGCAAGUUUGUGAUGGAGUUUCUAAAGUUUUUUAUGCGUAAAUAGCAGUUUGUUUUUAUCCCAAAAGGACAUAAGAAAGAAGACACUUUAGACUACUUUUUAAAAUAUGUAAAAAAAUAUGUUGAAACUUUUGGAAACUUUCAAAGAGAUUUUGUAGAGCACAAAACAGAUGCAAGCACUGUGGAAAAUAGCCCUUUUGUUGGGAAUAUCUCAUGCAAUUCUCUACAGAUACUCAGUCUAUUUCUUGUUUUCACCACCUCCUGCAAGGUCCUUUUGGUGAGAUUUAAUUUCAACAGAGAGGUACUGAAAUGCAGUGCUGAUCUUUUACACAUAGACUGCUACUCAGUGUGUAAUUCUGCAAGAAAUAGUGACAAAAAUUUUUUACUCAUUGUUUUAACACUCCAGUGUAGCAGCACUGUUAUAAAGUUACAAAGAAAAAUCAGUUUUGUUUCAAUCCAUAUACAUUGCUAUGUAAAUAUUGGUUUUGGUGAUCUGGUUUUCAUUUUGCCUUUAGGAGCUGGGAAUGAGAGAGGGAAGAGGGAAAGGUGUUUUUGAGGUCUUAGGUAGCUUCUCAUUAUUCUGCUCUGGCUUUGUUAGUAAUAAAUUCAAUUAAUAUCUCCAAGCUGAGUCUGUUUUACCAAUGAUAGUAGUUAGUGAGUUAUUUCUCCUGAUCCUAAUCUCAACUCAUGAACCUUUUGUUACAUUUUCUCUCUCCUCUUCAUUCACUGUAGCUACUUUUAUAAACAGAUAUUAAUUUUUGUUCCUUUAAUUCCCCAAAUUGACGACUGUCCUUCACAUGCAUUCCUCUUAAUUGACAGUUAGGACUGGACAUGAUGCAAAAGGCUAAGUCAACACUCACAAAGUGGGGAAUCACAUUUUCCAGGUCAUUGUGUCUUUUAUUUUCUAUAGAAGAGCCAAGACAACUACCCCCAACCAGAAGUUUGACCUUCAGUCACCAAAAUUUCAGUGAAACCCCUCCAGGCACAGCACGUAAUUUCCAUUCUUGUGGCCUUUCAGACCUUUCGUUUCAAAGUUGGUCCAUUCUUUGCAGUCUAUAAGAAUUCAGCUGUGACGAGAUUUCUUUAUAAGUUUGAGUUCCUUUGAUUGACAGUCCAGUCCAGUGGAAAUGAGUCCAAGUAAGAGCAUCGGUGAAACAGGUGAAGGUGCACAGACCAGGCAGCUGCUCUCCUGACCAGAUUGUUUUAGUGUCUGUCUGACAGAGACAUUAUUCAUGGUAGGUAGCAAUGUACACACAGCUGAAGUGCCAUUUCUGAUUUCACCUUUUCUAAGCAUUUGGUUUUGACAGUGAUAUUCAUAAGGUGAUUUUUAUGAGUUUUAGAUAUUGUGCUGGCAUGAUUUUUUCCAAGAAAUUGAUUUAUGAACAGUAUUUGAUGAAUUUUCUGUUUUUCUAAGGUUCCUUACAUCAAAAAGAAAAUAGUAUCUUCAAGCUGGCCAUAUUAAUAUUUACCUUAAGAAGAGGCCAGUUUUUAAAGAUCAUAAAAUCAACACUACAGGAUAGUCAUGAUAGAAGCAUUAUUCUGAGAAACUGGAGGCUGUCAACCAUACUAGAAGACAGCUUUGGAAGCAGAUUUUAUUCCAUGGACUACACCUGGCCACCCUUCAAGUAUAGGUGAAACCAGGAACCUGAUGAGGUCCCAUAUGGAUCUGUCUGCCUCAUUCCACCCAGCUCUUUCCUGAGGGGUUCAGAGUCCCACUGCUGCUGAGAGCAUUCCUGCUGUGACAAGCAACCACUAAGCGCUGCUGGAGUCAUGUGAGCCAGCUGGAGCUGAGCGUGACAGUGCUGUGAUGGGAAACGCUGUUGGGACGCAUUCAGCGUGGGCAGCUGCAGUGGGAGCUGCAGGUUCAGCUCCGGAUGGUGGCAGCUGAGGUGCUGACACUUUGCAGGGCCCGGGCACCUGUGGCCCAGCCAGGUGACCGGACACUCAGGGACACAGCAGGAGCAAAGGAGCCAGACUUUUGCUCCCGUUGAAUGAAGUUAAAAAAUCACAGGUUUUUCUUUUCUUGUGUUCCUGCCUCAGAGGCACCGACUCAAGCUGUUACUCAAUUAUUGCACCAAGAUUAAAGGAUAAAGAUAUUUGAGACUCCGGUAUGAGAAAUAUAGGAUUGAGCUAGCAAGGAAACCUGGUCUGACUGUGUGGCAGGUGCGUGAGUGUGGCUGCCAGAGUGUCUCUUGGAUGGUUGAAUGGGGAAGUUCCCCUAACAGCACUCAGGGCUCUGUCUUCAAGAGAUCAGUGCAGAAACCAAUUGCGUGUCUCAUGGUGGAAAGCAUCUCAUGAUGAACUUGAACUCCUGAGAGAUGAAUAGAAAUAGCCAAUAUGACAAUUCAAUUAUUUAUAUCUUACCCAAAACUUCGAGCGUAAACAAGUGACUCAUAACUUUGAGUGAGGAUCUGUGUUUAGCAUAUGUAGACCCAAAAUAUUUUUUGAAAACAAACCUUGAGUAAUUAUUUUCUUUCAAAAUAUAUUCGUAAGCCCACAUUUUUAAAUGCUGGCCUUUAUUGAAACCAUUGUACUAAGUCAUAAAUACCAAGUGGGUUACUGCCUUCCUUGUUCAGAAGAACUAGUUAUCUUCCAGGUUUGUGGCAUAGCAUGCUAGCCAAGUAAAACAGGUGAAUGCAGUAUCUUGCCAUCAUGUUUUUAUUGCUGGGGUGACAAGGAAGCCUGUGAGAGAGAUUUCCUAGAAAGGCUAGAAUUGAGAAAAGAGGAGGUUAACUUAUGGACUUUAGGGAAUACAUAAAACUGGGCUCUCUUAAUUUAGAGGGGCUUCUUUCUCAAAUAGAUAGUGACAUAGACAUCACAGGAGUAGCAGCUUCAUAACUACAGAAUAUGGGGAAGUAUUCCUCCUUCUCAUAGGCUGAACUGGCAAAUAAUGGAUGUUUGUAUGACAUGAUGAAUUCAAUGGGUAUGUUUAAUCCCUUUGGCAAAACACAACUUCCGACAAGAAACAUCCAUUAACUGCUCUUCCUACCCUCAGGUAAUUUAUUUCUGAUGUCUUUAAUUAGACUUUUAAAAAUGAACGAGUCUUAUUGUAUGACAUUUUCUGCAAAAUUCCUAUGUGAUUAGAAUUUUAUCAAAUGCUUGAAGGUACUUCCUGUUUGAAGCUUAAUCAAUAAAACAAACAAGUGGGUAUAUUAAGGGAAUGCAAAUAAAAUUAGACAAAAUUGCAUAAACAAUAAUCAAUAUGUUUCUUACAAGAGGAUCAUAAGUUUAGAUAUAAGAAAGGGUUUUGCAAAAGUUAUCAGAUGACCGUAUGAGUCAUUCAUUUAAAUAUGUGGGCUGAGAUGUGGUGGGUGACUAAGAUGUUCCUUGUUUAUGUGCUUAGGUACUUUAUUUUUGGAAUGUUCUCCUCAAGUGUUAUCUAUAUUAGAAAAAUUACUCAAAGUAGCCUCUAGUAAUGAAGUAGCUGAGAACUUCUACAUAGACAAGUAUGGUAGAGUUGAUGAUGUCAGCAUCCUGAUUGUGUCAUAUUAUUCAUUCCCCCCUCUUUUUCUAUGGAUGUGAGUUUUUUUAAAUGAUGGGAUAUUUGGUUUGAGUUUAAAAUAAAAUAGUACAUAAAACAAUCAGAAGAAGCACAACAAUAAGCAAGAAAAUACUAAACUACAAAAUGACACGAUACAAUAAAAUUAUAAACUGCAAUGCUAGCUUUUCAUUCAGUGUUUUAUGGAUGUACUGAGACUUUAUAGUGUCUCCUGCUGUUCAUAGCUCUUGGGCUAAUUAGCAGAUGCUUAAAAUCUCAAAAGAUUUGGUCCAGAAUUGCUAAUUACCUCCUCUAUAGCCCAGACUGAAGAGAGCCUGUAAAUACAAAGUAUGUGCCAUGCACCUUUCAGGCAUGCACUCCUCACUCAUAAGAAAAAUCAUGUGACGUUUUCUGAAACUCCAGUUUUUGAUUGCCUCAGGAUGCGUUGUUUUUUUUUUUUAAGAGGUUAAGAUCUAGUCACAUUCUCACCUCUGAUCUCUCACAUUUCAAGAGAAACCUGAUGAACCUGAUAGCAAGUGGUACUAACUUUUAAGCGAAUCAAAUCUUUAAAAGAAAUGCUUGACAGUCAUGGAGACAGCACCCAUGCUUAUAAUGAGCAAAGCCGCUCUCUUUUGUGUUAAAUGGUGUCCAUGUAAUGCUUAUGUGCUGUUUAACAUUAACACAUUUAAAGCUUAGAAAAACUAACCAAGCAAAGCCCCUCAUUUAUAGUAAAAGCUUCAGAAAGUCACUUCCUUAGCUAGUAGGCUGAUAUUUUGUUUGGAGAUGACUGGGAUUUUAUAAGGCUACAUUUCUGCAUUUAAAAAAAUGCAUCACAAAGCCUUGACAGCCGACUCAUCUUUGAGAAAAAAAAAUUUACUCAACCACCUACAUUUUAGGGAUGUAUCUACAAACAGGUACUUCUUUGUGAACAUAUGUAUAGCACAGGAGAAACACUGUCAUGGUUUGAAUUUCUGUGUCCAGUUUUAUGAUUUUUUUCACCUACUUUAACAACUUUGUGUAAUGAACAGAAACACCUACCUUCAGUAAAGCUAGUUAUUCUAAUACUGUUAUUAAAUAAUCAUGGCUCAUGUAAGGCUCUGAUAUAUUUUUUUAUCUUCAGUGCUUUUCAUAGAAUGAGUUAUUCUUGUUAGCUCAGCUUAACAUAACAACUGUCAAAACUGGGCCCAUGUUGCUUAAAACUCCAUUAGUCAGGGUGACUGAAACACAUAUCAAUCUAUUCUUAGUUCAGUCCCACACUAUUUAACAUCUCAAGGCCUAAAAUCUCCUAGGAGUAUACAGUGGUUGUACAUGCCAGAGGUAACAGGUCCAAAGGUCCCUUGAAGGAAAGGAUCAUAUCAGUACAAUUAGAAGCAAAUUCUGUUGAAAGCAUUUUGAAGAUUUUCCUGAAAAGGAUGUUGAACCUCUCACAGGAUCACCUCUCCAUUAGAGUUGCAUGUAGUAGUAAUACCCAAAAAAAUGGAUGUGACCUCUUUUACCAACACAGAGCUAAAAUCUCUUCUUGGCUGUGCUGCUUUCAGCUAGGACAAAGAUACUUUUCUUCAUGGGAGUUGGUAUGAGUCAAAUAUUGAAUGUGUGCUUUAGAAUAUGUGCUGUACACAGUAUUGAUAACAUGGGGGUGUUACUGCUGAGCAGUGCACAGAGUCAAGAACUUUUCUGCUUCUCACACUGUCCCACCAGCAAGGAGGCUGGGGGCGCUCAAGGAGGUAUGAUGGGACACAGCUGAGACAGCUGACCCCCACUGAUCAAAUAUAUAUUGCAUAUGAUGCAUUGGUCAGUAUAUAAAAACUGGGGAAAGAGAAGGACAGGGGAAUAUUUCCUGGAGGUUGCUGAACACCUAGCUGUCCAUCAGUGAGACAUGGUGAAUGAAUUCCUUAUUCUGUUCUGCUUGUGAAUGUAGCUUUUGCUUUACCUAUCAAUCUGUCCUUAUCUCCACCCACAAAUUUUCUUAUUUUACUCUUUCAAUUCUCUUCCCACCCCAUUCACUCUCAGGGGUGAGUGAAUGAAUACUGGUGAGGGUCUAGUUUGCCACCUUGGUUUCUUACUAUUACAUUGACCUAGCAGUUUAAUUUUGUUUGGAAACUCUUAAUGCAAAUUUUAGGACUUCAAGUGCUGUUUAAAACCAGAAAUAUUAGACUUUGCUGGUCAUGUUUUAGGAAGCAUGAGAUUAAGUGGUGAGGAAAUUCAUUUUAUUAAUCAGUAACUGACUAUUAAACUAUCAGACUAAAGAUAUGAACUAUUAACACCUUUUUCACUUUAAUAACUGUCUUUGUAUUUUUAACAUCUAAUCAUCCUAAUGAAUCUUGAAGGUGUUGCAUAGAGAUACCUCUAUUUAUUUCUUAGUAAUUUUUAUGCAUGUCUUAUCAGUAAGAUGAAACCAUUCCUGAUUGAGUUAAUUUGAUGCACUUAAAAACAUACUAGGAAUAAUAAGUAAGCAAUAUAUAAAAUCACAAACCUUAACAAGAAUUAGGUGGCAUUCUAUAGUGUAUUUUAUGUCUGGUGUUUAUCAACUGUCUCAACUUUUCUACUGCACUUAUCCUGAUAUAAAAGGAUGCUGCUUGUAAUUCGUGACACUGCUGUCUUUAUAGUUUCACUGUCACACUGAAAUAAAAUAAAUUUUGCCUGUGAUUCAGAGGCUAUAUUUUUCCAGACAAAGAUGCAUGCCAUUCAAAUGCACAGGAAUGGGUCCAAAAACUACCAUAGCUAAAGGGAACUUUCACUUAUAAGACAAAAUCUGGGGUUUUGCCAGAAAAGAGGAAUGAAAUCUCUUAUGGCUUUAGAUGCCACAUUUAAUUCACAGUUGUGUGAGUAUGAGAAAAAACCCAGUUUGACGAGAGAGAAAAGUUGAGAAACUAUAUGUCCAUUCAUUAGUAUCUUCCUUAUUGACACUUUGCUAUAGUGUCUGCAUAUAUAAGCAUUUUCUGAGAACUCCAAAUGUUAUAUGUUUGUUCAAUCAUGGUUUCUAUCACAGCUGUAGUAGUAUUGAAUAAGAUCAUAGGUUUUGUACAAGGAAAGUGCUAAUUUAGAUACUAAGGGAUGUUAAAUCCCUUAUCACUUAGAAAGAAAAAACAGAUUUUCUGUGACCAGAAAAGCUGUAACUUCUCUAGUCACUACUUUGCUUGAUGGAUUUAUUUCAUAUAUGUUAGGUUAAACACAACUUAGGUUGUGUUUAAAUGUUCAGUAUUUAAAAAAAAAUUUUAACUUACUUUGACUUUUUGGAGUAUAUUUAGCAGACAUUAAAUGUCCAGAAAAAUGAAAACAACCAUCAAAAUAGGUGCUUGAAAUGAACAGUAUAUAUUUACUAUCAGCAUUUAGGAUUCUGCUUGCUCAGAAUUUGCUUAUAUGGAAAAUUUAAACAUUAAGCAAGAUAAAUUAUGUCAAAAUAAAUCUGUCAUUCUGUCAUGCUGUUUUCUUGUUUGAAUUGUUGUUGUACAGUGUCAGUCAUCAAUGUGAAAGAUGUGAAAAUUUAUGGAUCAAAAAAUGUUCUAUGAAAUCUAGUUAUUCAGCUAGCAGGCAUAUUUCUUUGUGUUUUGUAAUUUAAAUACAAAAUUGUGUGUGACCCGUGUCACAAUUCAGUGCAUUGAUCAAUGCAUAAUGAAGACUACUGAAAAUGUGGACUGAGUAACAAGCAGCAGCAGAGAUUGAAACUGCAGCUAGUAAGUCAGAAAAUAUUUGAAUGUUUCUUCCUAGCUUACAAUGUUUUGAAGCAGAAAUAAAAUUUCUUUACUAUUCACAUAUAUAUAAACAAAGUCUCUGAGAAAGGACAGACUUGAAACAGACACAAAUGUUAGAAAUUAAGGCACUGCAUUCCUUGAAACUCUUUACAUUAACAGUUGUUUUUUUUUUUUCUGUCCUUUGUCUACUCAUGUUUUAUUAUUUAAUGCAUUUUUCAUUACAACAAAUAGAUGGCAUCAAAACUUACAUCAGACUUUCUUCAGAAAUGUAUACAAAAAUCUUUGAAUGGAUUUAAAAUGGAAGGGAAGGGAGAGUAACGUGGAAAGUACUAAGACCAAUGUAAAAGCAAAAUAUGAAAAUACAUUCAUGAAAAUGUAAAGAGUAAAGUGACACCGUUUGUGACUAUCUUAAGAUUUGAGGUCUCUUUUGAAAGAUAAGCACUUCAAGGAAGGAUCAUUCUGUAAUUUUGAUCUAGCUAAACUGAACUAAUUAAUUGCAACUGAGCCGCAGAAAACCCUUUUUUUUAAAUUAUUUUUUUAUUUGCUCUCUAGUCAAACUCCCACAGAGCUUCUCUUUUUUUUUUUUUUUUUUUUUUUUUUUUAAGAGGAAAUGAAUAAAAGUCUAACUAACUUAUAUGUUUCUUUCUCUCCCUGCUAGAAUAAGAAUAGAAAAUGAACAAACACCUGUUACAGCCACAAGAAUCUGGCCGUACUAAGCCUAACAGGUUCCCUAAAGGGAUGUUUAUGAAAGCAGGAGAUUAUCAGGGUAUCAGUAGCAGACCAUAAAGGGUAGCAAAAUCAGGAAAUGAAGGCAGGGUAAUCAACAUACCUGUGAAGAAUAUGAGCUUAAGAGACAUAAGAAGAAAUGGGGCAAAGAAGACCCUGGAUUAACUCUGAGGGACUGACCCAAGGGAACCACAGAGUUCAAAGCACUUGUAGGCAACAUGCAUUUAGUAGCAAGAAGUUUAAGGAGAUAUGUUGGGCAAUGGCAGAAGACCAGAAAAAGAGACUGAGUAGAACUUUCUCUCCCAUACAUAACUGGAAACAUUCAAGUCAGUGUCAAACCAGAAGCAGACUUCAUUCUUUUUGUGCAGUUACCACAUGAGGAAAACAAGUUUGGUCACAACUAUCUUUUGGACUCAUCGCUGGGACUUUACAGUUGUACACACAAUUUCUUAGAUUGUCACCUUGUACGUGCUUUCCUACAUGGGGUCUUUUCAGUCUUCAAAUGAGAUCCUGGCCUGUGUCAGGAAUAGUGUGGCCAGCAGGACAAGGGCAGAGAUUCUUCCCUGAUACUCUACACUGGUGAAGCCGCACCUUGAGUGCUGUGUCCAGUGCUGGGCUCCUCCAUUCAGGAAGGACAUUGAGGUGCUGGAGUGUGUCCAGAGAAGGGCGAUGGAGCUGGUGAAGGGUCUGGAGCACAAGUCCUGUGAGGAGCAGUUGAGGGAGCUGUGGUUGUUCAGCUCAGAGAAGAGGAGGCUCAGGGAGACCUGGUCACUCUCUACAACUGCCUGAAAGGAGGGAGUAGCCAGGUGGGGAUCAGUCUCUUCUCCCAGACAGCCAAUGACAGGAUGAGAGGACACAAUCUUAACCUGUGCCAGAUGAGGUUUAAUUUGGACAUUAGGAAGAAGUUCUUCACAGAAAAUGUGAUUAGAUAUUGGAAUGCACUACCAGGGAGGUAGUGGAAUCCAGGAGGUAUUUAAAGAAAGAAGAAAGACGGGAUGUGGCACUCAGUGUCAUGCCCUAAUUGACAUGGUGUUGUUUGGUUGUAGUUUGGACUUAAUGAUCUCAGAGGCCUUUUCCAACCUCAUUGAUUCAGUGAUUUUGUGAUAAAAGAGUUUCUUAAUGUCUUCUUGUCUGAACAAAAUUUAAUAAAUCCCUUAAAAUCUGGAACCCCAGGUCUGGAAAAUAGGGUGAUUAUUAAUAUCUUCAAACUUGUAACUGUGGCAAUAAGGGACAUUUCCCAGUAGGCACAUUCUAAAUCCUUAGGUAACGAUGAGUAAUUUACUUUUAUACAAAAUGUACUAUUACAUUUCCUGUGAUAUGUCUUUUCUAUCAUUUUACUUUGUGUCUUAAUGAAAAUUGAACUUGGAUUUCUUCCAUCCAAA